UCCAUUCUUAGGUCACAGAAUUUUCCACACUCCUUGACAGAGGUGCUUAACCCUUAUCCAUCAGCAUUCUCAGACAGCACCUCCGGUUAGGGACAGUAUCUGACCGUCCGACAUCCCUGCAGCCCCCAUGUGUCACACAGACUCAGCCUCAGGUAGAUGGUUUCCGUAGAUGGUGGCUUUCUUUGGACCCUUGACAUCAACCAGUUACUAUUUGAGUCUUGCUCUGUCACCCAGGCUGGAGUGCAGUGGCGUGAUCUUGGCUCACUGCAAGCUCCGCCUCCCGGGUUCAAGCAAUUCUCCUGCCUCAGCCUCCCAAGUAGCUGGGAUUGCAGGUGCCCACCACCACACUUGGCAAAUUUUU
rnacentral:lncRNA from 1 species